CCUACGGGCGGCAGCAGUGAGGAAUAUUGGUCCAUGGACGCGAGUCUGAACCAGCCAUGCCGCGUGCAGGAAGACGGCUCUAUGAGUUGUAAACUGCUUUUGUAAGAGGGUAAACGCAGAUACGCGUAUCUGUCUGAAAGUAUCGUACGAAUAAGCAUCGGCUAACUCCGUGCCAGCAGCCGCGGUAAUACGGAGGAUUCAAGCGUUAUCCGGAUUUAUUGGGUUUAAAGGGUGCGUAGGCGGUCGGAGAAGUUAGAGGUGAAAUCCCGAGGCUCAACUUCGGAAUGGCCUUUGAUACUGUUCGUCUAGAGAGUAGUUGAGGUAGGCGGAAUGUAUGGUGUAGCGGUGAAAUGCUUAGAGAUCAUACAGAACACCGAUUGCGAAGGCAGCUUACCAAGCUACUUCUGACGUUGAGGCACGAAAGCGUGGGGAGCAAACAGGAUUAGAUACCCGUGUAGUC
rnacentral:rRNA from 1 species